CUUAUUAUUUAACUUCUCUAGGAUUGCCAACCAUAGGCUCAAUGUCCUUUGUUUAUGGCUAGAAUCCACUUUUCUUUUUUCUUUAUUCUUUUUUGUUUUUAUUAGCUAUAUAUUUCUCUCCGCUCCCCUCUCUUCCUCCCUCCUCCCUAUGAACCCCAUGCUCCCAUAACAAAUAUUUUUCUAUAUAAAUCAUGAAUAUGAUUUCAUCCAGAUUUUUAAAAUUUUCAGCAUUUUCUAAAAAUUAGAUGAGAAAGCAUUUCUUGAUGAAUAUUUAUUGUAGAAAAUUUUAUGAUUAAGUAAUAAAUUCUAACAUAAUUAUUUUGAGAAAAUACUGAGGAUUUUUACAUUUAUAUAUAUGACAAUUUCAUGCGUGUAUUAUAUUUUAUGCAGUAUAUUGUACCAUAAUCAUACCCCCAUCACCUUCCCUUAUCUUCUUCCCACUACUGUUCAUCUCCUUCUUCCCAACUAGUCCCUCCUCCUUUUAUGUUUCUCUCCCUCCUCCUCUCCCUACACUCCUCUGUAAGGGGUACGUCUGUAUUUUGGCUUUUUGAGACAGUCUUACUAUAAAGCACAGGCUGGCCUUUAAAUACAAACUGUAGGUCAGGGAGAUGUUUCGGUGAUUCGGAUCUCUUGCUGAGGAUCUAAGUUUGAUUCCUGUCACCCACAAAUUCUCACUUAUGACUUCAGCUCAGGAGAUUUGACACUUUCUUUUGGCCUCAGCAUACACAUAAGUAGAAAUAAGUCUUAAAGGAAAAGAAAUACAGCCAGACAGUGUGGUGCACAGCUUUAUCCUAGCACUCAGGAGGUAGAGGCAGGCAGAUCUCUGUGAAGUUAAGGCCCGCUUGGUCUACAGAGGGAGUUCAGGACAGGCUCCAAAGCUACACAAAGAAACCCUGUCUCAAACAAAAGAAAAUAACAACACAAAAAAGAAAUGAUUUGUCUUUUGUGAUUGCAUAGUAAAUUAUUUGUAUCAUAUAUUAGGUAUUAUUCAUUUCUAUUUUCUCAUUCUAUUAUUUUUCAGGCUGCCUUGAACUGGCAAUGCCAUGUUUCAGCUUCUUAAAUGUUGUGAUUAUUGGCCUGCACACUCAACUAUAUUCUUUUUUUUAAUCUACUGAAAAGCCAAAUUUUUGUGAAAUUUCAAAGUGAAAACUUGUAAAACAUAAAUUAAAAGUAAUGGGAAGUAUUAAUAAAGAUAGAGUAGAAGAAGAGGAUCAGAUUAAAUUGAAAGCGAUGAGGCUAUUAUUACAUGUGCUAACAACAGUAAUACCUGUGUUUACUGGAUACUUACUGCUAAUACGCCUUGCAGUGUGCUUCUAUUCAUUAUACCAUCUGACUUCACAGUAAUCUCACAUGGUUGUCAUGUUAUUUAUAUCUUACAGAUGAGAAAACUGAGGAAUACAAGUAAAUUGUCAGAGUUAAACAGUGUGCUGUAGACAGAAUUACACUUGCAGUCUGAUGCUGAACUUGCUCUUAUCAUAUCUGUGCUGUAUUGUAAGUUCGUUUGCUUCUAAACCUUUCUGUGUUUUAAAUUAAAUUAUUUAUUGUUUCAGCCCCUUAGAGUCAAUGGUGUGAAGGUUUAUACUGAAAAUGUAGACAAAAGACAAAUUAUUCUGGACCUUCAGAUUAGCCCCUAAAACCCACUAAAGAAACAAAUGGUGGUUCAUUUAUAAUCCCAGGAUCAAGGAAACAGAGACAAGAGGAUCUCUUAUGCUGUGGCCAGCCACUCUAACCGUACGUCGCCCUGGGCGUCGGUGAAAGAUUCUCAAAAUAAACAAGGCAAAUGGUUAUUA